GACGAACGCUGGCGGCGUGCUUAACACAUGCAAGUCGAGCGGAGCGGCGAACGGGUGAGUAACGCGUGAGAAACUGCCCCCCUCUCUGGGAUAACAGUUGGAAACGGCUGCUAAUACCGGAUAGUGGGGGAUGACGCGCGUCCUAUAAGCUUGUGGGUGGGGUCGUGGCCUACAAAGGCGACGACGGGUGGCCGGCAUGAGAGGGCGACCGGCCACAUUGGGCGGAGAUACGGGCCAAACUCCGACGGGACGUAGCAGUGGGGAAUAAUGCCCAAGGGGGGAAGCCGUGAUGCAGCAACGCCGCGUGCGUGAUGACGGUCGUCGGGGUGUGAACCGCGUUCAGCCAUGACGCGGUAGUUGCAGAAGAAGCAGCGGCUAACUACGUGCCAGCGGCGGCGGUAAUAG
rnacentral:rRNA from 1 species